AGAGUUUGAUUCUGGCUCAGGACGAACGCUGGCGGCGUGCUUAACACAUGCAAGUCGAACGGACCAUUUGCAACGUUUGUUGUGGGUGGUUAGUGGCGGACGGGUGAGUAACACGUGAGUAACCUGCCCCUUGGUUUUUUGGGAUAACUGCUUGAAAGGGUGGCUAAUACCGAUGGUGCGGUUGGUGUCGCAUGACAUUGAUCGGGAAGAACAGUCUUUAUUGGUUGUUUGGUUGGGGAUGGGCUCGCAGCCUAUUAGUUUGUUGGUGGGGUGAUGGCUUACCAAGGCUUUGACGGGUAGCCGGCCUGAGAGGGUGGUCGGUCACAUUGGGACUGAGAUACGGCCCAGACUCCUACGGGAGGCAGCAGUGGGGAAUAUUGCACAAUGAACGGAAGUUUGAUGCAGCGACGCCGUGUGAGGGAUGAAGGCCUUUGGGUUGUAAACCUUUUUCGCUUUUGACCAAGGCACAGGUUUGGCCUGUGUUGAGGGUAGGGGGUAAAUGAAGCUCCGGCUAACUACGUGCCAGCAGCCGCGGUAAUACGUAGGGAGCGAGCGUUGUCCGGAUUUAUUGGGCGUAAAGGGCUUGUAGGUGGUGUGUCGCGUCUGUCGUGAAAUUCCAUGGCUUAACUGUGGGAGUGCGGUGGGUACGGGCAUGCUUGAGUGCGGUAGGGGAGACUGGAAUUCUUGGUGUAGCGGUGGAAUGCGCAGAUAUCAGGAGGAACACCGGUGGCGAAGGCGGGUCUCUGGGCCGUUACUGACGCUGAGGAGCGAAAGCGUGGGGAGCGAACAGGAUUAGAUACCCUGGUAGUCCACGCUGUAAACGUUG
rnacentral:rRNA from 1 species